UUAUAUUUUUUUGCAUGUAUUCUUUUAGAUCAACAGUUUUUUACAGAAUAAACGUUUUUUUGUGAUUAUUGAUUUGGUCGUUUGAGUAGAUGUGUGAUAAUAGUUGGUAUGGUCCGUGUAUGAGCUAAUUCGGUAUGGUCUGUGUGAGUAUGUCCCGUGAUUUUCCAGCGAAGCCUAUCUAUAUUGGGUAUAUUAUUGCCACAGGUUAGUUGGAGAAGUCAUCCUUAGAAGAAGUAACCCCAUGAAGAAGUGAAGAGGGAAACCGUGGCGAGGCCCCUCCACUUAUUAAUGAAGAAGUAGACCCCUUGUUUUUUCAAGCAGCCAGGAGAAAAGCUAUCACUUUUUGAUUUGAAGAUAGCGUACUCUGUCGACACUGUUUUGAAAAUAACCCUUGAUAUAUGGAUUUGUUCAUGUUAGAAGUGAAAAAAAAGUUACCCCAUGAAAAAGUGAAGAGGGAAACCGUGGCGAGGCCCCUCCACUUAUUGAUUAAAAAUGAUGUAUGUUUUCUUGUAUCUGGCAUAUCACAAGUGUAAUACUCGUGAUGAGGAAGUGUUGUUCAGUUGUCUGAGAAUACUCCCAUUAAUAGUCGGAGCAAGAACGGUUUUAUUUGUGUAAGCUCAUAUAGGAACCAAGUUUCAAUAUUUGUUUGUGUUUGUAAGCCCAUGUAUAUGGAGUAUGACUAAGAACCAAGUUUCAAUAUUUAUUUGUGUUUGUAAGCCCAUGUAUAUGGAGUAUGACUAGAAGUCUUAAGUUUUUUGUUCCCUGUUUGUUUGUCUAUCCCUGUUCUGUCUGGAAAUUAUAGAGUCUGUUAUCCCGUAAUGUCUGUUAGCCCAUGUCCCUGAUGGAGUUUGAUUUUUUUUGGCGAAUAGUUCGUUGACCUCUCUUGUGUUUGUUCAUUGAAAGUAGGCCAAGAGCAGAAGCUGUGACAAGGCUGGUGAGCUUAGGAUCUGGCCGCGUUGAGUACAGGUGAAGCUUGCUUUCGGUGGAUAAAUGGAAGUGGUCGUUCGUCGGAAUUGUCAUUCUUUCCAAUGUCCCUUUGGUCUUUCCCUUGUGUGUUUGCUUUCAUCCCUGUUUUGAAAAAGUAGUCUAACCCCAGUUUGGAA